GGAGAGGUAGCGAAGUGGCUAAACGCGGCUGACUGUAACUCAGUUCCUUCGGGUUCGACAGUUCGAAUCUGUCCCUCUCCACCA
rnacentral:tRNA from 1 species